CCUACGGGAGGCUGCAGUGGGGAAUAUUGCACAAUGGGCGAAAGCCUGAUGCAGCAACGCCGCGUGAGCGAUGAAGGCCUUUGGGUCGUAAAGCUCUGUCCUUGGGGAAGAAAAAAAUGACGGUACCCUUGGAGGAAGCCCCGGCUAACUACGUGCCAGCAGCCGCGGUAAUACGUAGGGGGCAAGCGUUAUCCGGAAUUAUUGGGCGUAAAGAGUGCGUAGGUGGUUUUAUAAGCGCGAGGUGAAAGGCUAUGGCUCAACCAUAGUAAGCCUUGCGAACUGUAAGACUUGAGUGCAGGAGAGGAAAGUGGAAUUCCUAGUGUAGCGGUGAAAUGCGUAGAUAUUAGGAGGAACACCAGUGGCGAAGGCGACUUUCUGGACUGUAACUGACACUGAGGCACGAAAGCGUGGGGAGCAAACAGGAUUAGAUACCCCAGUAGUC
rnacentral:rRNA from 1 species